rnacentral:rRNA from 1 species
GAUGAACGCUAGCGACAGGCCUAACACAUGCAAGUCGAGGGGCAGCAUUAUUUUAGCUUGCUAAAUAGAUGGCGACCGGCGCACGGGUGAGUAACGCGUAUGCAACCUACCUCUUACAGGGGAAUAGCCCGAAGAAAUUCGGAUUAAUGCCCCAUGGUUCUUUUUACUGCAUGGUGAAAAAGAUAAAGUUCCGGCGGUAAGAGAUGGGCAUGCGUUCCAUUAGUUAGUUGGUAGGGUAACGCCUACCAAGGCAUCGAUGGAUAGGGGUUCUGAGAGGAUAGUCCCCCACACUGGUACUGAGACACGGACCAGACUCCUACGGGAGCAGCAGUGAGGAAUAUUGGUCAA